rnacentral:rRNA from 1 species
CAGCAGCCACGGGAAUACAGAGGGUGCAAGCGUUAAUCGGAAUUACUGGGCGUAAAGCGCGCGUAGGUGGUUUGUUAAGUUGGAUGUGAAAUCCCCGGGCUCAACCUGGGAACUGCAUCCAAAACUGGCAAGCUAGAGUAUGGUAGAGGGUGGUGGAAUUUCCUGUGUAGCGGUGAAAUGCGUAGAUAUAGGAAGGAACACCAGUGGCGAAGGCGACCACCUGGACUGAUACUGACACUGAGGUGCGAAAGCGUGGGGAGCAAACAGGAUUAGAUACCCGCGUAGUCCCUGUCUCUUAUAC